UGGGGAAUCUUGCACAAUGGGGGCAACCCUGAUGCAGCGACGCCGCGUGAGCGAUGAAGUCCUUCGGGAUGUAAAGCUCUUUCGACGGGAACGAUAAUGACGGUACCCGGAGAAGAAGCUGCGGCUAACUACGUGCCAGCAGCCGCGGUAAUACGUAGGCAGCAAACGUUGUUCGGAAUUACUGGGCGUAAAGAGUGUGUAGGCGGUUGGGUAAGUUUGGUGUGAAAUCUCCCGGCUUAACUGGGAGGGUGCGCCGAAAACUGCCUGGCUUGAGUACUGGAGAGGAAAGCGGAAUUCCUGGAGUAGCGGUGAAAUGCGUAGAUAUCAGGAGGAACACCGGUGGUGUAGACGGCUUUCUGGACAGUCACUGACGCUGAGACACGAAAGCGUGGGGAGCAAACAGG
rnacentral:rRNA from 1 species